rnacentral:rRNA from 1 species
UGGCUCAGGAUGAACGCUAGCUACAGGCUUAACACAUGCAAGUCGAGGGGCAGCAUGGUCUUAGCUUGCUAAGGCCGAUGGCGACCGGCGCACGGGUGAGUAACACGUAUCCAACCUGCCGUCUACUCUUGGACAGCCUUCUGAAAGGAAGAUUAAUACAAGAUGGCAUCAUGAGUCCACAUGUUCACAUGAUUAAAGGUAUUCCGGUAGACGAUGGGGAUGCGUUCCAUUAGAUAGUAGGCGGGGUAACGGCCCACCUAGUCUUCGAUGGAUAGGGGUUCUGAGAGGAAGGUCCCCCACAUUGGAACUGAGACACGGUCCAAACUCCUACGGGAGGCAGCAGUGAGGAAUAUUGGUCAAUGGGCGAGAGCCUGAACCAGCCAAGUAGCGUGAAGGAUGACUGCCCUAUGGGUUGUAAACUUCUUUUAUAAAGGAAUAAAGUCGGGUAUGCAUACCCGUUUGCAUGUACUUUAUGAAUAAGGAUCGGCUAACUCCGUGCCAGCAGCCGCGGUAAUACGGAGGAUCCGAGCGUUAUCCGGAUUUAUUGGGUUUAAAGGGAGCGUAGAUGGAUGUUUAAGUCAGUUGUGAAAGUUUGCGGCUCAACCGUAAAAUUGCAGUUGAUACUGGAUAUCUUGAGUGCAGUUGAGGCAGGCGGAAUUCGUGGUGUAGCGGUGAAAUGCUUAGAUAUCACGAAGAACUCCGAUUGCGAAGGCAGCCUGCUAAGCUGCAACUGACAUUGAGGCUCGAAAGUGUGGGUAUCAAACAGGAUUAGAUACCCUGGUAGUCCACACGGUAAACGAUGAAUACUCGCUGUUUGCGAUAUACUGCAAGCGGCCAAGCGAAAGCGUUAAGUAUUCCACCUGGGGAGUACGCCGGCAACGGUGAAACUCAAAGGAAUUGACGGGGGCCCGCACAAGCGGAGGAACAUGUGGUUUAAUUCGAUGAUACGCGAGGAACCUUACCCGGGCUUAAAUUGCAGAUGAAUUACGGUGAAAGCCGUAAGCCGCAAGGCAUCUGUGAAGGUGCUGCAUGGUUGUCGUCAGCUCGUGCCGUGAGGUGUCGGCUUAAGUGCCAUAACGAGCGCAACCCUUGUUGUCAGUUACUAACAGGUUCCGCUGAGGACUCUGACAAGACUGCCAUCGUAAGAUGUGAGGAAGGUGGGGAUGACGUCAAAUCAGCACGGCCCUUACGUCCGGGGCUACACACGUGUUACAAUGGGGGGUACAGAGGGCCGCUACCACGCGAGUGGAUGCCAAUCCCAAAAACCUCUCUCAGUUCGGACUGGAGUCUGCAACCCGACUCCACGAAGCUGGAUUCGCUAGUAAUCGCGCAUCAGCCACGGCGCGGUGAAUACGUUCCCGGGCCUUGUACACACCGCCCGUCAAGCCAUGGGAGCCGGGGGUACCUGAAGUGCGUAACCGCGAGGAGCGCCCUAGGGUAAAACUG